rnacentral:ribozyme from 1 species
GCCGCUCGAAACUUUGCACACCUCUACGUGGUGGGCGGCAGGCAACACAGUAUGGGUGCUGUGGCUGAGAUACAGAG